GGUCAAGUAGCUCAGUGGUAGAGCGCGGCGAUGGCUCCUAGAGCCGCAACUUAAAUGGCCAUUCCCAGAGGCCGAGGACGGGGGUUCGAAUCCUCCCUUGACCG